UUCAGCAGCCAUAUCACCCUGUAGCCCAAGACUGGUUGCCCACUGAAGCUAAGCAGGGCUGAGCCUGGUCAGUACCUGGAUGGGAGACCUCCUGGGAAAACUAGGUUGCUGUUGGAA
rnacentral:rRNA from 1 species